rnacentral:rRNA from 1 species
UACGUAGGCAGCAAGCGUUGUUCGGAAUUACUGGGCGUAAAGAGUGUGUAGGUGGUGUCGUAAGUUUGGUGUGAAAUCUCCCGGCUUAACUGGGAGGGUGCGCCGAAGACUGCGAUGCUGGAGUAUGGGAGAGGAAAGCGGAAUUCCUGGUGUAGCGGUGAAAUGCGUAGAUAUGUGGAGGAACACCGAUGGCGAAGGCAGCCCCCUGGGUUAACACUGACGCUCAUGCACGAAAGCGUGGGGAGCAAACAGG